CUCAGCCCUGCAUAUGUUUUCCCUAUGUGCAGGUUGAGCGGGAUGUUGCAGCGGAUGGUUAGUGAGCUUUAGGAAUUUCCGGAUGCGUCGUGUCUUCAUACAUGGGCGUCAUCCCAUGACUCUCUUUGAUACAUGUUAUUCCGCUGCUGUGUUUGAAAUUAAUUUCUAGAAGUCUUCCGCACUAUUUAAUAAUGUUUUAUGACAUUAAGUAUCUUGAGACUAAAAUCUGUUGCUUAACUUUUCAAUAAACUAAAAUAUUUCGUUUUGAAGUUAAUUGGGUUUUUCAUAUUAAAUUUCGUCCCUUCUUGUUGUGUUUCAUUGCGUCCCCCUUUUUCUUCCCCGCUCCUUAGUCCCUCCCCUCGUCACGCUUUCCACGUCUCCCCUCAUUUUCUGUUUCAAAUUAUGAUGUUAGAGCUAUAAGGGUGGUUUAAAGUGUUAUGUCAUGCCAUGACUGUUUUAGAUGUUGAGAUUGUUGCCUGAUGCCUAAUUCGUCUGAGCUUGAUUUGUUAGGCUAUAUGGUUGUGUGUGAAAUGAAUUCGGGUCUGAUUAGGGCCGCAAACCCUAUCAGGCUGUGUACACUGGUGGGAUCGGGAGUCGUCCUUGCUAGUCGGCCGGUCUCGUGGGCGAAUAGUGUGGCCUCACUUUCAUUGCACUGUGGAAAGAUGACGUGAUUGUUGGAUUGUUGAGAAAAUGGGGAGAUUGUUUGCCUGCCCAGGCUAUGAAAUAUUUUUGUGUUCUCGAUGAUAUUUCUUAACUACAUAUAAAACUCGAGUUCACUGGUUGAGCGGGAUGUUGCAGCGGAUGGUUAGUGAGCUUUAGGAAUUUCCGGAUGCGUCGUGUCUUCAUACAUGGGCGUCAUCCCAUGACUCUCUUUAAUACUUGUUAUUCCGCUGCUGUGUUUGAAAUUAAUUUCUAGAAGUCUUCCGCACUAUUUAAUACUGUUUUAUGACAUUAAGUAUCUUGAGACUAAAAUCCGUUGCUUAACUUUUCAAUAAACUAAAAUAUUUCGUUUUGAAGUUAAUUGGGUUUUUCAUAUUAAA